AUACCUGCAGCUCGAGUGGUGACCACUAUUAUUGGGCCUAAAACGUUCGUAGCCGGUCUAUUAAAUGCCUGGGUAAAUCGUGCCGCUUAACGGUACGACUUCCGGGUAGACUGAUAGACUUGAGACCGGGAGAAGUUAGAGGUACUCCUGGGGUAGAGGUGAAAUUCUGUAAUCCUGGGGGGACCACCAGUGGCGAAGGCGUCUAACUAGAACGGGUCUGACGGUGAGGGACGAAGCCCUGGGGCGCGAACCGGAUUAGAUACCCGGGUAGUCCAGGGUGUAAACGCUGCUUGCUUGAUGUUAGUCGGGCUCCGAGCCCGAUUAGUGUCGGAGAGAAGUUGUUAAGCAAGCUGCCUGGGAAGUACGGUCGCAAGACUGAA
rnacentral:rRNA from 2 species